rnacentral:rRNA from 1 species
CUUGACGACCAUAGAGCGUUGGAACCACCUGAUCCCAUCCCGAACUCAGCAGUGAAACGAUGCAUCGCCGAUCCGAUGGUAGUGUGGGGUUUCCCCAUGUGAGAGUAGGUCAUCGUCAAGA